rnacentral:rRNA from 1 species
CCUACGGGGGGCUGUAGUCGAGGAUCUUCGGCAAUGGGCGCAAGCCUGACCGAGCGACGCCGCGUGUGCGAUGAAGGCCUUCGGGUUGUAAAGCACUGUCGAGGGGGAGGAAAGCCGCAAGGCCUGACCUAUCCCUGGAGGAAGCACGGGCUAAGUUCGUGCCAGCAGCCGCGGUAAGACGAACCGUGCGAACGUUGUUCGGAAUCACUGGGCUUAAAGGGCGCGUAGGCGGGCCCGCCAGUCUGUGGUGAAAGCCCCCGGCUCAACCGGGGAAGUGCCGUGGAUACUGCGGGUCUCGAGGGAGGUAGGGGCAUGUGGAACUUCCGGUGGAGCGGUGAAAUGCGUAGAUAUCGGAAGGAACGCCGGUGGCGAAAGCGACGUGCUGGACCUCUACUGACGCUGAGGCGCGAAAGCCAGGGGAGCAAACGGGAUUAGAUACC